rnacentral:rRNA from 1 species
GAUCCUGGCUCAGAAUCAACGCUGGCGGCGCGCUUAACACAUGCAAGUCGAACGAGAAAGGGGAGCAAUCCCUGAGUAAAGUGGCGUACGGGUGAGUAACACGUGGAUAAUCCACCUCUUGGUGGGGAAUAACUCUGGGAAACCGGAGCUAAUACCGCAUAAGUCCGAAAGGGGAAAGGCGAAAGUCGCCGGGAGAGGAGUCCGCGGCCGAUUAGCUAGUUGGUGGGGUAAAGGCCUACCAAGGCAAAGAUCGGUAGCCGGCCUGAGAGGGCACACGGCCACACUGGCACUGAAACACGGGCCAGACUCCUACGGGAGGCAGCAGUGGGGAAUCUUGCACAAUGGGGGCAACCCUGAUGCAGCGACGCCGCGUGAGCGAUGAAGCCCUUCGGGGUGUAAAGCUCUUUCGGCAGGAACGAUAAUGACGGUACCUGAAGAAGAAGCUGCGGCUAACUACGUGCCAGCAGCCGCGGUAAUACGUAGGCAGCGAGCGUUGUUCGGAGUUACUGGGCGUAAAGGGUGCGUAGGCGGUUUUCCAAGUUUGGUGUGAAAUCUCCCGGCUCAACUGGGAGGGUGCGCCGAAAACUAGGGAACUGGAGUACCGGAGAGGUAAGCGGAAUUCCUGGUGUAGCGGUGAAAUGCGCAGAGAUCAGGAGGAACACCUGUGGUGUAGACAGCUUACUGGACGGU